GGAGGAGGCGGGGGGGGGGGGGAAUGAGGGGAGAUCCAGAGUUUAUGACUCUUUAGGAAGAGAGAGAGAGAAUCUGACCCAGAGAGCCGAGCUGUGGACACUGUUGUUGCCUCAACUUACCUUCUCACUUAAAGCAAUGCCAGAUGAAAACUUUAAGGAACAAUGAAGAAGAGAGGUACGGCUCUGAAACGAUACAUGCCUCUCCAUUCCCUUCUUACCUGCUGAUGUGAGAUAAGAACAGCCCUGACGCCACUUCCUGAUUUGCCGGCAUAAUCUGAGCAUGCUCACGGACCACCACCACCAAUGCAGCAAAAUGACUUGAACCACCCCUACUUGUGGGAAAGGAAACCAUACUCUACUUAUUCUUUUUUCUGUGUAAAACACUUUGAAAACUGUGUUGUUGUUGUUGUUGUUGUUGUUGUUGAAAAGCAGUCUAUAAAUAAUGAUGAUGAUGGUAAACUGGCUGGAGCCAUGGAAAGGUGGAAUAGAUGUGAUUAAAAUAAAUAAAUGAAACCAUAAAUAAAGCAUUUAUCCAUC